UGUUCCGGGGUUCUCUGGUUCUCUUGGUGGGGUUUUUCCUGUGCGCCUUUUCCACCUCUUACCACCAGAUGGCGACAGGUUCCGGUUGGAGUGCGGUGGUAUCAUCAUCAUCCACAGCUGUCAUCAAUUACUCUCAUCAGCGGAGCAUACUUAAGGAGUUGACCGCCAGUCCAGCGUCGCCUGAGUGUUUGCCAGUCACGGUACCUCUGAGCCCCCUUGAGCCCUGUCUCUGUGUUCCUCGUUGCCUUGAGCCUUCCUUUGAUUCUCUUUGUGUUUCUCUGUUGCCUUCAGGAGAUCCCUUUGACACUCUGGACCCGCUGACCAGAUCCUGGCAGUUUCCUUGGUUUCAGAACCUCCCUCGUGACGCCGUGGAAAGUAUCCACUGGUUGCCCGAGUUCCCAGACUCACCUCUCCGUUGUUUGCAAGUAUCUCCUGGACCCCACGGCUGGCGGCCGAAUCACUCCUCUGUGUCUCUGUUGCACCCGAGCCUACCUGUCCGUUCUCCGCCGCACUCCUCCGUUGUUCCUGGACCCACUAGAGACCGAGACCCUGGACAUACUCAGUAACCCUCCAAGAUUCAGAUCCAGCCACCACCAAUGAACCACUGCUGCCCGUUACAGUUGAUUCCCUGGACCAGACCACCUUCCCACACUCUGAUAAUUGUGUACCUUAAUAAAUCACUUAAACUGAU